GCCUGCCCACUGAUUAAAGUUGAAGGGCCGCGGUAUUUUGACCGUGCGAAGGUAGCAUAAUCAUUAGUCUUUUAAUUGAGGGCUUGUAUGAAUGGUUGGACAAAAAAUAAGCUGUCUCGGUUGUAAAAAUUGAAUUUAACUUUUAAGUGAAAAGGCUUAAAUAACUUAGGGGGACGAUAAGACCCUAUAAAGCUUUACAAUUAUUUAGUUAAAUUAUAAAUUGUUAGUAUAAACUUAAUUUAAUUGAUGUUUGUUUCGUUGGGGCGACGAGAAUAUAAUUUUGUAACUGUUCUUUUAUAGUUUGUUACAAUUAUUUUUGGUAAAAGAUUGAUCCUUUAUUAAAGAUUAAAAGAUUAAGUUACUUUAGGGAUAACAGCGUAAUCUUCCUUGAAAGUUCAUAUCGACAGGAAGGGUUGCGACCUCGAUGUUGAAUUAAGAUUUCUUUAUGGUGCAGCAGUUAUA
rnacentral:rRNA from 1 species